rnacentral:rRNA from 1 species
AUUGAACGCUGGCGGCAUGCCUUACACAUGCAAGUCGAACGGCAGCGCGGGCUUCGGCCUGGCGGCGAGUGGCGAACGGGUGUGUAAUGCAUCGGAACGUGCCCAGUAGUGGGGGAUAGCCCGGCGAAAGCCGGAUUAAUACCGCAUACGACCUGAGGGUGAAAGCGGGGGACCGAAAGGCCUCGCGCUAUUGGAGCGGCCGAGGUCGGAUUAGCUAGUUGGUGGGGUAAAGGCUUACCAAGGCGACGAUCCGUAGCUGGUCUGAGAGGACGACCAGCCACACUGGCACUGAGACACGGCCCAGACUCCUACGGGAGGCAGCAGUGGGGAAUUUUGGACAAUGGGCGCAACCCUGAUCCAGCCAUGCCGCGUGCGGGAAGAAGGCCUUCGGGUUGUAAACCGCUUUUGUUCGGGAAGAAAUCCUCUUAGCUAAUACCCCGAGGGGAGGACGGUACCGGAAGAAUAAGCACGGGCUAACUACGUG